GGUAAAAUGGCUGAUAAAGGUGAUAAAUUGUAAAUUUAUUAAUGAAGUAAACUCUCUUUUACUA
rnacentral:tRNA from 1 species